UCCAUCUAUCUAUCUAUCUACCCAUCCAUCUAGUAUCUCUUUCUGAGGGUUUUCGCCCUAACAGGAUUAAGCAUGCUUAAAUUCAUUUCUAUUAUUAGAUCUGCUCUUUGCAAUCUGUCAGCCUCCAGCGAUAAACCACCAAAAAACAAAGCCUCAUUUAUAGGCACAAAAGAUUCGAGAAACGCAUGGUCUAUAAAGACGUAAAGGUAAAAAUAAUGCAUAAAUAUAUGGUUGUGCAUCAUUUGUAUCUCCGUAAUGCCCUUUAUCUCUAACCGUGACCUUUCGGAUUACAUCAAUUAUGCAACCACAGCAUGAAACCAGUUUAAUGAUAUGACGAAAUGCUUAUACACAUCAAUACACACAACUGCACACUACAUGGACCCAUUUUAAUGAAAGUAAAAUCGGAUUUAAAAAAAAAAAGAGUUUAGUGAGUUUCUCCUGUCCCCCUUAUUUUAUUUCACUGAUAACAUAUCAUCACUGUCCUUCAAAACCUUGCAUUUCCUAAUUUAUUUAUUUUUUUAGAUUUUCGCUGUUUCGCAAACAUCAAAGAAAAAAAAAAGUAUUAAUAGUUUAGGGGAGACCCCAAAUAGUCAAGGAUUUGAUAGAAGGAGCCUUAAUCGACUACCAAUCUCACAGUCGAAUCCUCGCAGAGGUGUUAUGCAAUGGGGAUGAUGCCAUUGAGUUUAUAUGGGUAGACGGACCGUUAAAAAUGAUUAAUACUUAUAAAUAAAUUAAAAUUAUUUAUGAUGUAAAGAAAUAGGGAAUUUUAAGGGUUGGGUACCGAAACCCCCGGCGCAUAUGAGCGAGAUGUCUGGCUACCCAGUGCACCCGCAGAUGACUGCAAAUGAAUGGGUACACCGUUUGGACAUAUAAUUAAUAAUUAACACUUUGUUUGUAAAUGCACGUAGUUGUUACUUAGACUGAACUUUGUGCACCAUGAUUUGAUAAAAAUAAAGUAAUAUAACCAAAAUCACCGCAUAUGGCGCAGACUUUUGGAACCUGUCAUUCUCUGCACAAAAAAGCAAGAGUGCGUGUCGGUAGGAUGGAGAAAGACUCCUCAGGAAAUGACCGGAGACCGAAGAUAAUGGAUGGACCCAUUUAAGAGCCGCCCAUCAGGUGUUUGGAUGCCAUCCACGAAAGUUUGACUUUUCCAUCGGUCAGAUACAAGAUGACAACCGGUACACCCUGUUUCCCCGUGAUAUGGAAUAAAAGUCCAUCAGAUGAUUUGGUGCGGAC